rnacentral:pre_miRNA from 1 species
UUAACUCAAAUUUGUAUGGAAUGGGAUCGUUUGCCUACGUUUGCCGUUAGGGGCGCUGUUCCAACUGCAUACAAAAUUGGGUUA